AGAAUCAACGCUGGCGGCGUGCCUAACACAUGCAAGUCGAGCGCGAAAGGGGGGCAACCCCUGAGUAGAGCGGCGAACGGGUGAGUAACGCGUGGGUAAUCUACCUUCGAGUGGGGAAUAACCCCGGGAAACUGGGGCUAAUACCGCAUGACAUCGUCCGGGCCUUCGGGUCUGACGAUCAAAGCCGGGGACCGCAAGGCCUGGCGCUUGAAGACGAGCCCGCGUCCGAUUAGCUAGUUGGCGGGGUAAUGGCCCACCAAGGCUUCGAUCGGUA
rnacentral:rRNA from 1 species